rnacentral:rRNA from 1 species
GACGAACGCUGGCGGCGUGCUUAACACAUGCAAGUCGAACGGAAAGGCCCUGCUUUUGUGGGGUGCUCGAGUGGCGAACGGGUGAGUAACACGUGAGUAACCUGCCCUUGACUUUGGGAUAACUUCAGGAAACUGGGGCUAAUACCGGAUAGGAGCUCCUGCUGCAUGGUGGGGGUUGGAAAGUUUCGGCGGUUGGGGAUGGACUCGCGGCUUAUCAGCUUGUUGGUGGGGUAGUGGCUUACCAAGGCUUUGACGGGUAGCCGGCCUGAGAGGGUGACCGGCCACAUUGGGACUGAGAUGCGACCCAGACUCCUACGGGAGGCAGCAGUGGGGAAUAUUGCACAAUGGGCGGAAGCCUGAUGCAGCAACGCCGCGUGCGGGAGGACGGCCUUCGGGUGGGAAACCGCUUUCGCCUGUGACGAAGCGUGAGUGACGGUAAUGGGUAAAGAAGCACCGGCUAACUACGU